ACCAGCUGAAAGUUUCUAGACGAAGGGCAUAUACCAGUUAAACUCCGCCAUUUUGCCUCUCAGUGUUCAAGCUUGAGCCCACGCAUCCAACUCCUGAGAUCUUACUGGGAAGCUGCUGAUCAUCAGUUUCAGGAAGUCAGCAUGGAUCAGCCUUACGUUCAUGGCCUCCAGGCCCUAUUCUCCUGCCUCACAGGGACCGGCCAGGAUCUCUAUCCUUACAGCACGUUGGAAUGUAUAUGCUCCUCUCCCCACAUCGCCUUAGGGAGCAGGCAGGUGUCAGGGGCAGCACAAGGACGGCCAACAGGACAGUUCAGCAUGGCUGGGGAGGCCUCAGGAAACUUACAAUCAUGGCAGAAGGAGAAGCAAACACGUCCUUCUUCACAUGUCGUCGUCAUCAAGGAGAAGUGCUGAGCCAAAGGGGGAAAAGCCCUUGAGAAAACCAUCAAGUCUUGUGAGAACUCACUCACUAUCAUGAGAACAGCAGCAUGGGGAAGACGGGUUGAAGAUCCGAGAGGCUGAGUCACUUCCACAAAGUAACACAGCUGAUUUUAAAUGCCUGCAUUCAGCAUCCCUGCAGCAGGCUCCAGGUGGAAUUCUAAUGGGACCAGCCUCCAGUCCCUGGACCUUAGCCGUGGAAGGAGAGAAGAGGACAUCUGCACCUCCUCUCAGAGAAAGCCUGAUGCCUACUAAAGGACUUGGGUGGUGGACGCAGUGACCCUCAGUCUGGAGCUUGUUCACUGAACAUUGGAGACUAUCAUUUGCGCAGAUGGUCUUGGGCCUCUAUGAGCAGCAGGCUGCACCCCACAGUGACCUCCUCAUUCUACUCUGAGGCAUCUUCAUGAAAGCAGAUGUCCAUUGAAAAGCACCCAAGUGCAGUCUCAGCUGAUGAACUUCAGAGGCGAUUGAGACAAAGGCUCUCGGUCCCCUCUGCCCUUGGAUGGUGCCUCUGGUAUGCACUUGGCCUCUGUGUCUUUAUUUAGACUGGUCACUUCACAACCCAUCAUGUCACCCCACCCCUAACCGUGCCCACUCUGGGUCCUCCCCUCAACUGCCUGACUUCCCACUUUGAGCUCAGCAAAGGCAAUAGAUGUUUUGUCUGCUUCGAUACCCUAAA
ensembl:lncRNA LINC02318 long intergenic non-protein coding RNA 2318